rnacentral:rRNA from 1 species
GAGUUUGAUCCUGGCUCAGGAUGAACGUUAGCUACAGGCUUAACACAUGCAAGUCGCGGGGCAGCAUGGGGGUUGCUUGCAACCCCUGAUGGCGACCGGCGCACGGGUGAGUAACGCGUAUCCAACCUGCCCUUCACCACGGGAUAACCCGGCGAAAGUCGGACCAAUACCGUAUGUUGUCCAUUGGCGGCAUCCGAUUUGGACGAAAGGCUUAGCGGUGAGGGAUAGGGAUGCGUCCGAUUAGCUUGACGGCGGGGUAACGGCCCACCGUGGCUACGAUCGGUAGGGGUUCUGAGAGGAAGGUCCCCCACACUGGAACUGAGACACGGUCCAGACUCCUACGGGAGGCAGCAGUGAGGAAUAUUGGUCAAUGGGCGGAAGCCUGAACCAGCUUUUUAGCGUGCAGGAUGACGGCCCUAUGUGUUGGAAGCUGCUUUUACGCGCGG